CCUUCCUCACCCAAAGCUGCGGGGGUUGGUUGAACGUUACGGCAAGCGCCUCUGUCUUCUGUCCCUCACCCGGAUUGGCUCGCCGUGGUUUUGGAAGCGCUUGGGUCCGCUCAGAGAUAGGUUUGGGCUUGCUGUCUGAAGAUUGUCCAAAGCUUCAAGGAUAUUAUUGGAAGUGGGGAACGUUUGGUGGUUCCUGAUAAAGUGCAAUCAUGUUUUUGCUUUCAUAGUUUUCAGUGCCCAGAUUUCAAAAAGAGAAAAAAUGUUAAUGCUCUAGAGGAAGGCUAUUCAGGGAAGUCAUGACUCUGAAUCUGCAAUACCUGAAGAAGGUGAAGAUAGGGUGACUUGGAAGUCUCUCAUUCAUGGGAUUGUCAUAGAUCAGUCACCUUUAUGGCGGUUAACAACAACAAAAACCAUAUCAUGGAUCCUUUGCUGACCACCCUCUCAAUUUAUGUUUGGACUGUUCCUGUUCACUUCUCUAGCAGUUGUCUGUCUUCUAUUAUGGAGACACUGACUGAUCUGGCCAAGCCAUAUUUCAGCUUUGAUGUCACCUGGUUGGAUUUAUCAGCUUGUCCUAUGAAGUUUACUUGCACUUUUUAACCUUUGUUCUUUGCUUGUAACACAUUUGUAACUUUGGAUGUGUCUUCUCAGAAAUAUCCACAGGUCUCAAAGAUGUGUACAGGGAAUCAGCAAAUGUACAGCAAAUACAUUUGCAAAAUGCUGCUGACUAGCCUCAGCAAAGUUGUCAAAAUGUACACUAGCCAACAACAGAAGCCUUAUGUGUCAUGUUCUGGGUACCGAAAAUAGAAUAAAUAAUAACUUGAGAUCCCUUUCUUAUCACACCUCAUAUGACUUGGUGAAUUCAUUCUGAUUUAAUGUAUCCUUAUAACACAUUACAAAUUAUACACACACAAUGUUAACUCACUACUUCGCGGUUUGCUUUUCAUGGACUCGCUGUUUUGUGGUUUUUAAAUAAACACUACAAUAAUAUUAUAAAUCAUUGAAAAAUUAUGAUUUACAGUAGCGGUGGUCUCAGUCGGCGGGGCAGAGAAGGAGCCCAAACAGCAGCAG